AGUAAAUCUCGGCAUUAACGUUGAGAUGUUGGAAAUUUUCUGGUAGUCGCGUAGCGCUGGUAAGACUCUAUUUACUUAUACAGAGAAUCCCAUUAUUGAGUACAUGGGUAUCUACAGACACAUGACAGAAGAACUGAUAGAAAGCAUCAUUGAUGGAAGACCUAGCUAACUUUGAUAAAAUGGUUUCAUUAAUGAAGAUAGAAUAUAAUUAUGCUUAUUGAGUAGAUAUAUUAGUUUGCUAACUCAUGGAUAUAGGUGGAUUAGGUCAAGUAAGACCCUGCCUGCACCAAGUCCAGGCACAUUGAGGUCAGGUCAUGCCAGGACUGGACAGCAGUGGUCCUCAUGAAAGGGAUUAACUAGAUCAUCAAAUUGUAAACCUUGCUUCACUGGAAGACCUGCAGUCCUCAGUCUUGUCAUCUUCCACAGCUAAGAAGGUGCUGUGCAGGCCAGAGAUGCUGAUAAGCUGAUUUUUAAGGAGACUUGGGUGAGGGAUACAAAAUAACGACAUAAAAAAUGGGAUAGUUUCUUUAAUUAACAAUAUUCACAAGACAUCUAGAAACUUGUAACAUAUUAGAUAAAGCAAUAAAAAUUACACUUGUAUUGGUGUUGAGAGCAGUGUGGGGCUGGCAGGUGUAACAGACUCCCCACACCCAGCCAGCAGCCUCCGCAGCCUCCCCGCCCCCCUCCCCUACCAACCAGGCAGGGUGUGAGGGGCAGGGCAGAGUAGAGCACAGCAGGGGGUCAUGGGCUGGGUGGGAGCAGCUGCCAAUACCCUUCAGUGCCUCGAUACACUAAGAGCUGCCUGUAGCGAUGCAAGACCCGAAGGAUCAGCUUCAGCUUCAAUACCCGGCUGGACAAGGCACCCGGCCGGGCCGCCUGUGGGGCUCGGGCCAGGUGAGUGUUUGCACGCUGAGGAUUGACUAACUUGAGAAAAUGAUGACUGUCAGUUCCAGUGCAGUUUGUGAGUGAAAAUUAAAAUAAAGAUUACCUACAUCUUUGAAAAGAAGGAGAAUCACCUCCUUCAUAAUGGCAUAUGAAUUGAUUUACUCUAAAUUCCAAGAACUGUCUUCACACACGGUAAUCAGAGAUUACUGCAUUGUGCUGCACAAGUUCUUGAGGGAAUAGAGAGAUGACAAUCAUUUGCUUUUUUUCUGUCUGCCAGAUGGUUGCUUCACUGCCUCAGGAAAUUUCCCUCGUGGAUGCCAUGUGAGAGUGUGACACUCCAGGUAUGUAAUAAUUUUUGAGUAGGUACUACUUUGUUCACUAAACUGAUCUUUUGUUGUUAUGGGAAAGAAAGAAGAGGGUAGCUACUGCAUGUGUCUCAUCCAUAUUCACAACCUUUUUUAUAGACAACAUCGAUUUCAUGUCAUGUACUCAAGUAUGCAUCAUGCAUUCUCAAAGAUUUUUUUUGUUUGAUGUGUACUAUGCAGUUCAUCUGUGGCCACUAUCUUUACCCCACACUGACUAGUUCAGGGGAUUUCCUGGUUGACAGUUUCCACAACUGGGAGACAGACAGAUAUAUCAUAAACAUCUGAUGUUUGUCAUCUGAUGGGGAAAGACAGAAUGUAGCUAUGUUUAGGCAGCUGGUGUAGCUGGUGUGUGGUGGAGGAUCAAGGGGAAGGGAGUGAGUUGUGGUGUUCUGGUCCUUUUUGUUGAGACUGUUGGUGUAACACACUUGUACCUGUUGUGUGAGGCCUGUGUCUGCCUCACAGGCAUGAGAAAGCUACGCUGGGCCAGUGGUGUCUGUAUUUGGUGAAGGGUCACGGUUUGAUGUGUCUCGGGGCAUUUUUCAUGCCCUUGCCUUUCGGGGUAUAAUUCAAUAUAACAUGAAUCUGAUCUACCCUGAUACAAAGUUACAAAUAAUAUAUUAUUGAAAAAUAGCUGACUCGCAGCCUUUGCUACCAUGUAGUAGUAAUACCCGACAAAGAGCUUAAAUAGGAAUAUAUCAAAUCCAAUGAACUGUUCAUGGAGGACAGGACCUAUGUACAUAAAAUACAAGUGGCCAAUGCACCAAGCAGUCACAGUGGCGAGGCUGGUGAGGAACAGGAGUCGGCGCUCCCUGCACUGGUGACUCGUGCUGUUUGAGAAAUGAUUGCAGGUAUAUAAAGAAUCCCAGGGUCAGGCAAGUAAGGGCAUGCAGCCAUGCUAAAGGAGAGAGACAGUGCUUCCUCUCACACUACUAAGUUUCCCUGCUAACUUGUAACCCUCUGGCCCAGCACUUGCCCAGAGCCACCAGACCAUGUUACAAAGUGCAGUGCCAUUUUGUACCCAAGGUUAAGAUUAAAAUUGCCUGAAAGCUGUUGUGUCUCCUUUGGGUGUUUCCCUCUCAGAGGUUGUAAAGGCUGAAUGUCACCAAUGUGGGGAUGAUGGGUGGCACCUUGUUCUCAGCAGCCUCCCAUGACGGCUCCAUCUGUAGCCAGGUGUGUGUAUGUGUUUGUGUGUGUGUGUGUGUGUUUGAGGUGAUGGCAGUGGCUGGUGCUGCCGUUACUCCAUUAGAUCAGCACCACCCAAACAAACUUGAAUUUAUGCUGUUUUGUGUGAGGCAUCAGCUAGAGCAACACACCAAUAUUUAUGCUGUUUUGUGUGAGGCAUCAGCUAGAGCAACACACCAAUAAAUGCAGUUCUCUUUAGGACCCUGAUUGCCACUCCAUGUCCUUUAAAUUCCUUACAGGUGUGUGCCUCUCCACCAGCACCUUCAUGCAUGGAGCUCGGUACAUUUCUGUGAUUGAUACUCUGGCACUGUGGAGUGGUGUCUGCCAGAGGCAAGUGCCACACCUCCUGCCAGCCAGUGAGGUUGCAGAGACAGUUUCUUUGCACCAUGGAGCCCUGUGCUGAGGGUAAAUGUCACCCAGGAGGUAUGGCUCUACAUGGUUGUCAGAGGAGUUUGAUAGAAGGAAAGGCUGAGGUGUGUGACUGAACCAGUAAAUCAAUGUACAGAACUUUUACUUGGAUGCAACACAAGUUUGCAAUGGAGUGAAGGAGAGAUGUUGGCCCCAAACAGUUCCCAAGCCGCACAACAAAAGAGUUUGCUUAAAAAAUCAUCCAUUUUGCAUUAGUUUUCCUUUAACAUUCAUUUCCUGCUAAUGCUUCACCACCACCUAACACAGCACAGCUUCCUCCACACAACACUGCAACAUGGAUUUUGAUUACAAAAAAAUUUCAUUAAGUUUGUGAUUCUUUGAGCAAGUAUGUCUCUUAGCUGAUUCAUUCUCACGCUGCUAACAUUGACGUGAUGAGCUAGAUCAUAAUUACUUGAUCUCUGAGAGAGCAGACCACCUCUCCAAGUAUAGUACAGUAAUGUAUAAUGAACCCAAAGUAAAUUUUUUGUCACCUAUUCUACAGCAGCAUUUGAACAAGGGAACUGCCACCAGCUUUGGGUGACUUGUGAGUUUUUAAGUGUGUCACUUCACACUAAAGUAACUAACACGGUGUAAUAAUAUUGAAGUUUCAGGAUUCUUGUUCUUUGAUUUAAUGUGUAUAAUACAGAACUUGCUUUCAGGGCAUUCUGCUCUGGCAGCAGGCAAGUCGUACUCUUUGAAUCUGGGUGAUGCAGGGCCUGCAGUGUCUUGUGUAAGCACUAGGGUGGGGCUGCUGGGAAGAAAUUGUUAUUGACACCUGCAAGGUUGAGUUACUGUCUGAUUUUUUUUUCAUUGAUACUGGCAGCCAUAAAUAUGCAUCCACAAAAUACAGUGGCAAAUAAAUGUGUAAAAAAUUAGUUUGGAGAAAAAUCCUUAGUGGUGUUCUGCAUGUUUUAUUAUGAAGGGGACACAGGUAGGAUGCUGAAGGCUGAGCCAGGUAUGCCCCUUGUUUGCCCGAGCCACCCGGGCCUCAAACCUAGUGCACUGCCUGCCUCCUUCUUAAUAAGCCCUGCAUGCGCCUAAAUGGAUAUUUUUUAUCAACUUACACACUCAUUAUGUGAUAUGGAGUUAAAAAGUAUAAUUAGUGAAGGAGUUAGAUGCAAAAUUCUUUCCUAGUGUAUUACAUAGCAGCUGUGUAUACAAUGCAGAGUAUUUGCAUUUAGAACUUUCUAAGAUCCAAAACCUAAAACAGUUUUAAUUGAAAUGCAGUUUAUUGUACUUUAAUCUUCAGUAAUAUCUACAUUCUCUGAACUUGAGUGUGGUGAAUGUGUGGUGUGAGUGUAUGGUUGAGGAAAAAGUAGUGAAUUAACUUCACUCUUUUGAUCUGGCAGAGUGGAAAGAGUAGCAGGGAAGUGGCAGCGUGUGAAUGGGUGACUUCACACUUCAAGACGAGACGCCGUGGCUGAAG